rnacentral:rRNA from 1 species
GGACUACCCGGGUAUCUAAUCCUGUUUGCUACCCACGCUCUCGCGCCUCAGUGUCAGUAUUAGUCCAGGAAGUCGCCUUCGCCACUGGUGUUCCUUCCGAUAUCUACGCAUUUCACCGCUACACCGGAAAUUCCACUUCCCUCUACCAUACUCAAGUCAAACAGUCUUGGCUGCAAUUCCCAGGUUAAGCCCGGGGAUUUCACAGCCAACUUAUUUAGCCACCUACGCGCCCUUUACGCCCAGUAAUUCCGAUUAACGCUUGCACCCUCUGUAUUACCGCGGCUGCUGGCAC